rnacentral:tRNA from 3 species
CGGGGUGUAGCUCAGUUUGGUUAGAGCGCUUGGUUAGGGACCAAGAGGUCGCAAGUUCGAAUCCUGUCACUCCGA